GGGUCAGUAGGUUGGUCGUGCCACCGGUACGUACUGGUCUCACUGAUUCCUCCUUCCUGAAGAACCGUAAUGCCAUUAAUUUGGUGUUGCGGGGAAACAGGACUGUUACUUUGAAAAAAUUAGGGUGUUUAAAGCCAGCUAACGCUUGAAUACAUUAGCAUGGAAUAAUGAAAUAGGACGAUCGAUCCUAUUUUGUUGGUUUCUAGGAUUGACGUA
rnacentral:rRNA from 1 species